AGUCGAACGGCAGCGCGGGGCAACCUGGCGGCGAGUGGCGAACGGGUGAGUAAUAUAUCGGAACGUACCCAAGAGUGGGGGAUAACGUAGCGAAAGUUACGCUAAUACCGCAUACGAUCUAAGGAUGAAAGUGGGGGAUUCGCAAGAACCUCAUGCUCCUGGAGCGGCCGAUAUCUGAUUAGCUAGUUGGUGAGGUAAAGGCUCACCAAGGCGACGAUCAGUAGCUGGUCUGAGAGGACGACCAGCCACACUGGAACUGAGACACGGUCCAGACUCCUACGGGAGGCAGCAGUGGGGAAUUUUGGACAAUGGGCGCAAGCCUGAUCCAGCAAUGCCGCGUGAGUGAAGAAGGCCUUCGGGUUGUAAAGCUCUUUUGUCAGGGAAGGAACGGUCGAGGCUAAUACCUUUGGCUAAUGACGGUACCUGAAGAAUAAGCACCGGCUAACUACGUGCCAGCAGCCGCGGUAAUACGUAGGGUGCAAGCGUUAAUCGGAAUUACUGGGCGUAAAGCGUGCGCAGGCGGUUUUGUAAGUCUGUCGUGAAAUCCCCGGGCUCAACCUGGGAAUUGCGAUGGAGACUGCAAGGCUAGAAUCUGGCAGAGGGGGGUAGAAUUCCACGUGUAGCAGUGAAAUGCGUAGAGAUGUGGAGGAACACCGAUGGCGAAGGCAGCCCCCUGGGUCAAGAUUGACGCUCAUGCACGAAAGCGUGGGGAGCAAACAGGAUUAGAUACCCUGGUAGUCCACGCCCUAAACGAUGUCUACUAGUUGUCGGGUCUUAAUUGACUUGGUAACGCAGCUAACGCGUGAAGUAGACCGCCUGGGGAGUACGGUCGCAAGAUUAAAACUCAAAGGAAUUGAC
rnacentral:rRNA from 1 species